CACGUAGGGCGCAAGCGUUGUCCGGAAUUAUUGGGCGUAAAGAGCUCGUAGGUGGUUUGCUGCGUCCGCUGUGAAGACCCAAGGCUUAACCUUGGGCUUGCAGUGGAUACGGGCAGACUAGAGGUAGGUAGGGGAGAAUGGAAUUCCCGGUGUAGCGGUGAAAUGCGCAGAUAUCGGGAGGAACACCGGUGGCGAAGGCGGUUCUCUGGGCCUUACCUGACACUGAGGAGCGAAAGCGUGGGGAGCGAACAGG
rnacentral:rRNA from 1 species